rnacentral:tRNA from 1 species
GCGACUUUAGUUUAAUAAUUAAAAUAGUAGUUUGUCUUUCUAUAGAUGUCCGUAUUGGU